rnacentral:rRNA from 1 species
UGUACACACCGCCCGUCGCUACUACCGAUUGAAUGGCUUAGUGAAUCCUUCGGAUUGGCUAUUUUUUUCUGGCAACAGAAUUAAACUGCUAAAAAGUUGGGCAAACUUGGUCAUUUAGAGGAAG